rnacentral:rRNA from 1 species
ACCCCACUGCUAUCGGGAUAGGACUAAGACAUGCUAGUUGAGCGCUUCCAGCCAACACGGGAGCGCAGCGCACAGCUCAGUAACACGUGGCUAAUCUGCCCUUGGGACCGGAACACCCCCGGGAAACUGGGGCUAAUUCUCGAUAGGUGAAGAACUCUGGAAUGAGUCUUUGCUUAAAAGACGUUUGCGUUAUGCUCGUAAGCGUCGCCCAAGGAUGAGGCCGCGACCGAUCAGGUUGUUGGUGAGGUAAUGGCUCACCAAGCCUUUUACCGGUGCGGGCCGUGAGAGCGGGAGCCCGGAGAUGGGCACUGAGACAAGGGCCCAGGCCCUACGGGGCGCAGCAGUCGCGAAAACUUUGCAAUACACGAAAGUGUGACAGGGCUAUCCCGAGUGCCAUCCGCUGAGGAAGGCUUUUACCCAGUCUAGAACGCUGGGGGAAUAAGGAGAGGGCAAGUCUGGUGUCAGCCGCCGCGGUAAUACCAGCUCUCCGAGUGGUGUGGAUGUUUAUUGGGCCUAAAGCAUCCGUAGCUGGCUGAGUUAGUCCCUUGUUAAAUCCACCGAAUUAAUCGUUGGAUUGCGGGGGAUACUGCUCGGCUAGGGGACGAGAGAGGCAGACGGUAUUUCCGGGGUAGGGGUGAAAUCCUAUAAUCCCGGGAAGACCACCAGUGGCGAAGGCUGUCUGCUAGAACGCGCCCGACGGUGAGGGAUGAAAGCUGGGGGAGCGAACCGGAUUAGAUACCCGGGUAGUCCCAGCUGUAAACGAUGCAGGCUAGGUGUUUGGACGGCCACGUGCCGUUCUAGUGCCGCAGGGAAGCUGUCAAGCCUGCCGCCUGGGGAGUACGAUCGCAAGAUUGAAACUUAAAGGAAU